rnacentral:rRNA from 1 species
CGUGUAGGCGGUUUGUUAAGUCGAAUGUGAAAGCCCUGGGCUCAACCCGGGAAGUGCAUUGGAAACUGGCAAACUUGAGUACGGGAGAGGAAAGUGGAAUUUCGAGUGUAGGGGUGAAAUCCGUAGAUAUUCGAAGGAACACCAGUGGCGAAGGCGGCUUUCUGGACCGAUACUGACGCUGAGACGCGAAAGCGUGGGGAGCAAACA